GACGAACGCUGGCGGCGUGCCUAAUACAUGCAAGUAGAACGCUGAAGAGAGGAGCUUGCUCUUCUUGGAUGAGUUGCGAACGGGUGAGUAACGCGUAGGUAACCUGCCUUGUAGCGGGGGAUAACUAUUGGGAACGAUAGCUAAUACCGCAUAACAAUGGAUGACACAUGUCAUUUAUUUGAAAGGGGCAAUUGCUCCACUACAAGAUGGACCUGCGUUGUAUUAGCUAGUAGGUGAGGUAAUGGCUCACCUAGGCGACGAUACAUAGCCGACCUGAGAGGGUGAUCGGCCACACUGGGACUGAGACACGGCCCAGACUCCUACGGGAGGCAGCAGUAGGGAAUCUUCGGCAAUGGGGGCAACCCUGACCGAGCAACGCCGCGUGAGUGAAGAAGGUUUUCGGAUCGUAAAGCUCUGUUGUAAGUCAAGAACGGGUGUGAGAGUGGAAAGUUCACACUGUGACGGUAGCUUACCAGAAAGGGACGGCUAACUACGUG
rnacentral:rRNA from 1 species